UACGUAGGGUGCGAGCGUUAAUCGGAAUUACUGGGCGUAAAGCGUGCGCAGGCGGUGAUGUAAGACCGAUGUGAAAUCCCCGGGCUUAACCUGGGAACUGCAUUGGUGACUGCAUUGCUGGAGUAUGGCAGAGGGGGGUGGAAUUCCACGUGUAGCAGUGAAAUGCGUAGAGAUGUGGAGGAAUACCGAUGGCGAAGGCAGCCCCCUGGGUCAAUACUGACGCUCAUGCACGAAAGCGUGGGGAGCAAACAGG
rnacentral:rRNA from 1 species